CUGGAUCCCAUCUCCCUUUGACUCGAGGUUAGAAGAAGCCAGCAGCAGGGGACGCAGGAAGUCAUGAGAAUCUCCCGGAAGGAAGGGGGAAGUAGGAGAGAAGUGUGCUCCCGGGACACAGCGGUCACACUGGGCUGGAGUGCGGCCCCCACCUGCCCAGCCCUCCCGGUGCGGAGUGGCCCCUGAGCCGGAAGCUGCUGGGUAACGUGCAAACGGGUCACAGAAGCAUGGUGGCCGGCAGGGCGAGGCAGACCCCGGGGGCAGGCCGUGCAGACUCAGCUCGGGCCGGCUGCCCUCGCGGGCGUGCGGGGAGCCUUGCGGACACGGGCAGACAGAGGGCAGAGCCCCGCGGCGGUCUCUUCAAAACCUGACCUUCCAGACUCUUCUUGUCUGCUGCGUAGACUCCCCAUGUUCGCCCGUGAGCACUGUGCAGACUGUGGAGGAGCUUGUGUGGGGCCUCUUGGCUGCCCUGCAGGCGGACCCCACGAGGAAGGGACAGUGCGAGCAAAGAAAACUAUAAUUGGGAAGUCACGCAGAGCGCUGGGUGUUGAAGGACGACCCGCUUCUGUCCAGGACCAUGUUUCCAGCCUCAUACCUGAGCUUCAGCCGCCCAGAUGCACACUGGGUUUCCUGGUAGCCCGUGGAGUACACAACCUUGAUGGUGCCACUGGGGUAGUCCCUCCUCUUGAAGCAGGACGUUUGAAUUUCCCUCUGCCCGUUGCUGAACACAAUGGUUCUGUCGCCGUUCCUGACGGGGAAGAGUAGCCUGGUAAAAAGUCGUCAUCGAUCCCAGAGCAGCUUGGGCUUCUGAAUGCCUUUGACCCUUAACUGUUGUCAGCCUUCACUUCUGGUUUUCCACAGUGACUCGGGGUGUCAGACCAGGAAAUGUGGUGAAGAUCCUGACUCCCUCCAUAGUGGCCUCCAUGGACAACACUGACUUACAACCUGAUGCAAAAGUUAGAACACUUAGGGGUGUCUGGUGGGCUCAGUCCGUAGAGCACGCAACUCUCGAUUUCAGGGUCAUGAGUUCAAGCCCCACUUUGGGCGUGAAGCCAAAAAAGAGGGGCGCCUGGGUGUCUCAGUCGGUUAAGCGUCCGACUUCGGUUCAGGUCACGAUCUCACGGUUCAUGAGUUUGAGCCCCGCGUCGGGCUCCGUGCUGACGGCUCGGAGCCCGGAGCCUGCUUCGGAUUCUGUGUCUCCCUCUCGCUCUGCCCCUCCCCCACUCACGCUCUGUCUCUCUCUC